rnacentral:lncRNA from 1 species
UUUUUGAAUCCACACGUCAGUUUGUCGACGGUCCGUCUGUAUCUGUUUAUCGAGUGUGUGUGUGUGUGUGUGUGUGUGUGUGUGUGUGUGUGUGUAUGUGUGUGUGUCAGCUCCGCCUGAACACACGGAGCAGCAGCCCAUUAAUCUGAGCAAAACAACCGUCAAACACCUAAACGCGUUUAUCUCCUAAUUCUGGUCAUUUUUGUUUAUUGUUAAUUUACCGGUAAGCUAGUAGUUAACGUGUUGCGUGUUAGCUUGUGUAUGUGUACGGCGUUGCCAUGGUGACUCUUCGCACUCGAGGCACAGGGGACGCGUAUCCGAGCACCGGGCCGCUGCAGCAGCAGAUGCCGUCCAAUUCCCCGCUGCAGGCUGCACCAGGGAUCCAGAGCAGCAGCAGCAGCACGGUCCCCAGGCCGGAAGAAUCCGCACUGUGCGAUAGAAUUAAUGAUGAUGAUCAGAAUUACGUUGAUUCAGAAACACACGAGGAUGAAGAUGAGAAACCACAGAGAGCCAUCAUCAGAUGGUGGAAAGAGGAGUGGGCUGAGGAGAAGCACCAGGUCGACCAAACCGACCUGCAGAUAUCAGGACUCCAACAUGUUCGACGGCAUCGGCACCAACACGGCCAGGUUGGUUCUGAAUAAGAUGGACAACAUGAAGAAGAAAAGGCAUCUUAGUAACAACAAAAAAGGAAAGACAAGAACUCCUGUGCCUCCACAGACAGAGCCCAGUGACAACGAGGAUGACAACGGUUUGUCCCAACAUUCAGG